rnacentral:rRNA from 1 species
UUUUAAAUGGCCGCAGUAUUUUGACUGUGCAAAGGUAGCAUAAUCAUUAGUUUUUUAAUUAAAAGCUUGUAUGAAAGGCUGGACGAGGUAAAAUCUGUCUCUAUUUAAAUUAUAGUAGAAUUUAUCUUUUAAGUUAAAAGGCUUAAAUAUUAUUAAAAGACGAGAAGACCCUAUAGAUCUUUAUAGUUUAUUAAAUUAAAUUAAUUUAGAAAUAUUAAUGUUUUAUUUAAUUAAAUUAUUUUAUUGGGGUAAUAAAAAGAUUGAGUUAAUUCUUUUUUAUAAUAAACAUUAAUUUAUGAAUAUUAAUGAUCCAGUUUUACUGAUUAUAAGAUUAAGUUACCUUAGGGAUAACAGCGUAAUUUUUUUAGAGAGUUCAUAUCGAUAAAAAAGUUUGCGACCUCGAUGUUGGAUUAAAGAUUAUUUUAGGUGUAGAAGCUUAAUAAUUUUGGUCUGUUCGACCAUUAAAUCUUUACAUGAUCUGAGUUCAGACCGGCGUAAGCCAGGUCGGUUUCUAUCUUUAAUAAAAUAAAAUAUUUUAGUACGAAAGGACCAAAUAUUUGAUAUAUUUAUAUUUAAUUUAUUGAAUAUUA